UACGAAGGGGGCUAGCGUUGUUCGGAAUCACUGGGCGUAAAGCGCACGUAGGCGGAUUUUUAAGUCAGGGGUGAAAUCCCGGGGCUCAACCUCGGAACUGCCUUUGAUACUGGAGAUCUUGAGUCCGGAAGAGGUAAGUGGAACUGCGAGUGUAGAGGUGAAAUUCGUAGAUAUUCGCAAGAACACCCGUGGCGAAGGCGGCUCUCUGGGACGGUACUGACGCUGAGACGCGAAAGCGUGGGGAGCGAACAGG
rnacentral:rRNA from 1 species